AGAGAAGCUUGGUUCUCUUGAGAGCGGCGGACGGGUGAGUAAUGCCUAGGAAUCUGCCUGGUAGUGGGGGAUAACGUUCGGAAACGGACGCUAAUACCGCAUACGUCCUACGGGAGAAAGCAGGGGACCUUCGGGCCUUGCGCUAUCAGAUGAGCCUAGGUCGGAUUAGCUAGUUGGUGGGGUAAUGGCUCACCAAGGCGACGAUCCGUAACUGGUCUGAGAGGAUGAUCAGUCACACUGGAACUGAGACACGGUCCAGACUCCUACGGGAGGCAGCAGUGGGGAAUAUUGGACAAUGGGCGAAAGCCUGAUCCAGCCAUGCCGCGUGUGUGAAGAAGGUCUUCGGAUUGUAAAGCACUUUAAGUUGGGAGGAAGGGUUGUAGAUUAAUACUCUGCAAUUUUGACGUUACCGACAGAAUAAGCACCGGCUAACUCUGUGCCAGCAGCCGCGGUAAUACAGAGGGUGCAAGCGUUAAUCGGAAUUACUGGGCGUAAAGCGCGCGUAGGUGGUUUGUUAAGUUGGAUGUGAAAUCCCCGGGCUCAACCUGGGAACUGCAUUCAAAACUGACUGACUAGAGUAUGGUAGAGGGUGGUGGAAUUUCCUGUGUAGCGGUGAAAUGCGUAGAUAUAGGAAGGAACACCAGUGGCGAAGGCGACCACCUGGACUAAUACUGACACUGAGGUGCGAAAGCGUGGGGAGCAAACAGGAUUAGAUACCCUGGUAGUCCACGCCGUAAACGAUGUCAACUAGCCGUUGGAAGCCUUGAGCUUUUAGGGCCGCAGCUAACGCAUUAAGUUGACCGCCUGGGGAGUACGGCCGCAGGGUGAAAACUCAAAUGAAUUGACGGGGGCCCGCACAAGCGGUGGAGCAUGUGGUUUAAUUCGAAGCACACGAAGAACCUUACCAGGCUUUACAUCCAAUGAACUUUCCAGAGAUGGAUUGGUGGCCUUCUGGAACAUUGAGACAGGUGCUGCAUGGAUGUCGUCAGCUCG
rnacentral:rRNA from 1 species